CACCAUACUACGCCUCAUUGACGCUGGCGGCAGGCUUAACACAUGCAAGUCGAGCGGGGAAGCGCGCUUGGCCGCUUAAGCCACGGCGGACGGGUGAGUAAUGCUUAGGAAUCUGCCUAUUAGUGGGGGACAACAUUCCGAAAGGAAUGCUAAUACCGCAUACGUCCUACGGGAGAAAGCAGGGGAUCUUCGGACCUUGCGCUAAUAGAUGAGCCUAAGUCGGAUUAGCUAGUUGGUGGGGUAAAGGCCUACCAGGGCGACGAUCUGUAGCGGGUCUGAGAGGAUGAUCCGCCACACUGGGACUGAGACACGGCCCACACUCCUACGGGAGGCAGCAGUGGGGAAUAUUGGACAAUGGGCGGAAGCCUGAUCCAGCCAUGCCGCGUGUGUGAAGAAGGCCUUUUGGUUGUAAAGCACUUUAAGCGAGGAGGAGGCUACUCUAGUUAAUACCUAGGGAUAGUGGACGUUACUCGCAGAAUAAGCACCGGCUAACUCUGUGCCAGCAGCCGCGGUAAUACAGAGGGUGCGAGCGUUAAUCGGAUUUACUGGGCGUAAAGCGUGCGUAGGCGGCUGAUUAACUCGGAUGUGAAAUCCCUGAGCUUAACUUAAGAAUUGCAUUCGAUACUGGUCAGCUAGAGUAUGGGAGAGGAUGGUAGAAUUCCAGGUGUAGCGGUGAAAUGCGUAUAGAUCUGGAGGAAUACCGAUGGCGAAUGCAGCCAUCUGGCCUAAUACUGACGCUGAGGUACGAAAGCAUGGGGAGCACACAGGAUUAGAUACCCUGGUAGUCCAUGCCGUAAACGAUGUCUACUAGCCGUUGGGGCCUGUUGAUGCUUUAGUCGUCGCAGCUAACGCGAUUAAGUACGAUCAGUCGUGGGGGAGUACGUACGCUAGACUAAGCAUCAUAAUGGAACUGGACGGAGGUCCCGCACAUAGCGGGCAUGGGCAGUCUAAUGUCGG
rnacentral:rRNA from 1 species